CGCAGGCCGCUCCUCGCUUCCGAGAGAAUACCCUUGAUAAUAAUAUUCAUCGAGAAAAUCGGGCACGCCAAAGCCAAACCCCAAAGAGGCGCAGAGAAGGGGUCUCCGAAGGGAGACUUCCAAGAGCAGAGAAGGGAAAAAGUGCUUCCAGUCUGAAACGCUUCUUCCCCGCCUUUUGAAAUCCCUGCCAGGGUCUCAUUAGCCUUUCCACUUUGACUUUCGUUGGUAAGAAAAAUUCUUUAACGGAGGCCAGGAUCCGAUGACCACCCAAGGGCAGGUCGGGAUUGACCAUGCUGUGCUCGAUGAUAUAAUCAGACGGCUUACGGAAGUCCGAUUAGCGAGACCCGGUAAACAGGUUCAGCUCUCUGAGACCGAGAUCAGGCAGCUAUGUGUUGCUUCUAAAGAUAUAUUUGUCCAGCAGCCCAAUUUGCUCGAACUCGAGGCCCCCAUCAAGAUUUGUGGUGAUAUUCAUGGACAGUACAGUGAUUUAUUAAGGCUUUUUGAGUAUGGGGGUUUUCCUCCUAGCUCUAACUACCUGUUUUUAGGAGACUAUGUUGAUCGUGGAAAGCAGAGCUUAGAAACCAUAUGCCUUUUACUUGCCUAUAAAAUCAAAUAUCCAGAGAACUUUUUCCUUUUAAGAGGAAAUCAUGAAUGUGCUUCCAUUAAUAGGAUAUAUGGAUUUUAUGAUGAAUGCAAGCGACGGUUCAAUGUGAGGCUUUGGAAAUCUUUUACAGACUGUUUUAAUUGCCUUCCUGUGGCAGCCCUUAUAGAUGACAAAAUAUUGUGCAUGCAUGGCGGCCUUUCCCCAGACCUAACAAGCUUGGAUCAAAUUAGAAGUCUGUCCCGUCCAACUGUUGUUCCAGAUACAGGAUUGCUCUGUGAUUUGCUUUGGUCAGAUCCUGGUAGAGAUGUUAAAGGAUGGGGUAUGAAUGACAGAGGAGUCUCAUACACCUUUGGCUCAGAUAAGGUGGCUGAAUUUUUGACAAAGCAUGACUUGGACCUGAUCUGUCGUGCACAUCAGGUUGUAGAGGAUGGGUAUGAAUUCUUUGCCGACAGGCAACUUGUUACCAUUUUUUCAGCUCCUAACUACUGUGGUGAAUUUGACAAUGCUGGUGCCAUGAUGAGCGUGGAUGAAAACUUGAUGUGCUCUUUCCAGAUUCUUAAGCCCGCGGAGAAAAAAGCGAAGUUCAUGAUGUCAAACAAAAUGUGAUGGUUGGCACGUUACUGUUUCCUAACUGGCUAUUGUUUUGUGUUGAGUCAAAAUGUGUAGGAUUAUAGCAGUUAAGGCUUUUAUUCAUGGACUAUCUAAUGUAAAAUAAUGAAUAUUGUAAGGUUCAAGACAAGGAUCAUUAUUGAGUCUAUUAGCGCGCGCACUUUCUUUUGGUACAAUGUACAAACUUUGUAAUUUUAACCAGAGUUGGGCUAAAGGGGUGAAUAACAAUUAAAUAUAUUUUGGGCUGAUUUUGUAAAUAUAUAGAAGAUAUUGCAAGUAAAACAAAUAGAUUGCAUGUAGUUGUUACUUGCUUGGCUAGAUUUUGUUUCAAGUGAUUGCAUCUUUACACCUUGAUGUCUUUUAAUAUGUAAAUGGAUUUUCUGGGUUUGGUUUCUUAUUCUAAUUUAUGAGCUUAAUUCAUUAAAUAAUAACAUGCUAAUGCGCAUAUGUUUUACUGUGGUUAGCUAGUAGGAUAAGGCUUGCUGUCGUCAUCGUCUAAAGAGAUAAAACAGUUUCUUUAUUCUCAGAGCUGUUUUACUUUCAUGGUUGCUAGUUCGUAAUGCUUUGGCUCAUUGAUUGUUUUACAUAAUUGCACCCAUUGGCUUUGACUGUUGAUAAGGCGGGCCAGAAUGCUUCAAUACAGACCCAGUUAUGGUGAAAGCGUGUUUACUCUGCAAUGUUUCUCAAUAUGUGUUGUGAAGGUUAAUUUGUUUCAAAGCACUAGAUCGUGGGCCCCAUAAUCUCUCUUGUGCCUUUAAUUCAUAAUUAAAGAACACUAUCAUAUACAAAUUGGGAAAAAUGUGAAAUGAUGCUUCUUUUUUAUCCCAAUAUUUUUUAUCAUCUAGAAAAUUCCUAGGUCCGAACUGAAGCAUGUUUAUUAUGCAUUUUGUGGAGCUAAAAUUAUCAUAUUGUCUGGUCUCACAGAGCACCAGGGGGGGGGGGGAGUCAAGCCCCUAUUAUCAGAAUGCUAAAAGAAGGCCUUUCUUUGAUUUCAUACCUAUACGUUGGGGAAAGGUCAGGUUCAAAUGUAGAUUGCCUGAUCUCAAGUCCUAUCUAUUUUGAAGAGAUGCCAAGCUAGUUUUAUGCAUACUAUAUAGUCGGGCAGUGGCCAUUACGUACUAGUUGUAGGAUACGCCUUGCAGGAUGGGCCUAAAGCUAAGAAUUGAAGCACUUUUGUUUUUUUAUAUUCCUGGAUCAUAGCUGUUCUAUGGCUUAUUAUGUACAUAGUUGUGGUGUAGAUGGGCAAUGAAAAUGACCUUUGCGCUGGAAGGUCUCAUGAAUAGCAGUAGACUGGCUUCAGCUUACGCCGAAGGAACAAUAUGUGUUAAUUAUUCUAGCCAAUUGUGUUGAAAUUGUCGUUCCCGUUUGUUCAGAUAGUAUAUUGGGUUGCAACUGUUGAGAUCUUGAUUCUCACAUUGAUCAUCAUGAGCAUUGAUGUUACCUCAUUAGGGGUUGGCCCUCAGUUACUUUGCUUGCUUGGAUCUGGAGGGGUUUCAAAUUCCCUGAAACUGAACAUUUUGGGAGGCAUGACCCAGAGGAUGCUAGUAGUCAGCUUUUACCAUGCAGAGAUUUGCCCUUUUAUUUUCCUGUGUGUAUUGCAUGAAAUUUGAGAUAGAUCAUACUAAUUUGUGCUCUAUAAAUGGUGUGGUUUGGUAUAAAUAAUAUAUUGAUUGAUGAUUGAUAUU